rnacentral:rRNA from 1 species
ACUGCUCAGUAACACGUGGACAACCUACCCUCAGCACGGGGAUAAACCCGGGAAACUGGGUAUAAUACCCGAUAGUUCUAGGCUGCUGGAAUGCAUCUAGGACGAAAGCUCCGGCGACUGAGGAUGGGUCUGCGGCCUAUCAGGUAGUAGUGGGUGUAAUGUACCUACUAGCCUACGACGGGUACGGGUCGUGAGAGCGAGAGCCCGGAGAUGGAUUCUGAGACACGAAUCCAGGCCCUACGGGGUGCAGCAGGCGCGAAAACUUUACAAUGCUGGCAACAGCGAUAAGGGGACCUCGAGUGCCAGGAUACAAUCUUGGCUGUCGUAAUGCCUAAAAAGCAUUGCAUAGCAAGGGCAGGGCAAGUCUGGUGUCAGCCGCCGCGGUAAUACCAGCUCUCCGAGUGGUGUGGAUGUUUAUUGGGCCUAAAGCAUCCGCAGCUGGCUAAGUUAGUCCCUUGUUAAAUCCACCGAAUUAAUCGUUGGAUUGCGGGGGAUACUGCUUGGCUAGGGGACGAGAGAGGCAGACGGUAUUUCCGGGGUGGGGGUGAAAUCCUAUAAUCCCGGGAAGACCACCAGUGGCGAAGGCUGUCUGCUAGAACGCGCCCGACGGUGAGGGAUGAAAGCUGGGGGAGCGAACCGGAUUAGAUACCCGGGUAGUCCCAGCUGUAAACGAUGCAGGCUAGGUGUUUGGACGGCCACGUGCCGUUCUAGUGCCGCAGGGAAGCUGUUAAGCCUGCCGCCAGGGGAGUACGAUCGCAAGAUUGAAACUUAAAGGAAUUGGCGGGGGAGCAC